UACAGAGGUCUCAAGCGUUGUUCGGAUUCAUUGGGCGUAAAGGGUGCGUAGGCGGCGCGGUAAGUCGGGUGUGAAAUCUCGGAGCUUAACUCCGAAACUGCAUUCGAUACUGCCGUGCUUGAGGACUGGAGAGGAGACUGGAAUUUACGGUGUAGCGGUGAAAUGCGUAGAUAUCGAGAGGAACAUCUGCGGCGAAGGCGGGUUGCUGGCUGACACUGACGCUGAUGACGCGA
rnacentral:rRNA from 1 species